UACGUAGGGUGCAAGCGUUGUCCGGAAUUAUUGGGCGUAAAGAGCUCGUAGGCGGUUUGUCGCGUCGAAUGUGAAAACCCGGGGCUCAACUCCGGGCCUGCAUUCGAUACGGGCAGACUAGAGUUCGGUAGGGGAGUGUGGAAUUCCUGGUGGAGCGGUGAAAUGCGCAGAGAUCAGGAGGAACACCCGUAGCGAAGGCGGCACUCUGGGCCGAUACUGACGCUGAGGAGCGAAAGCGUGGGGAGCAAACAGG
rnacentral:rRNA from 1 species